rnacentral:rRNA from 1 species
AGAGCGAACGCUGGCGGCAGGCCUAAUACAUGCAAGUCGAACGGAUCCUUCGGGAUUAGUGGCGGACGGGUGAGUAACACGUGGGAACGUGCCCUUUGGUUCGGAACAACUCAGGGAAACUUGAGCUAAUACCGGAUGUGCCCUUCGGGGGAAAGAUUUAUCGCCAUUGGAGCGGCCCGCGUCUGAUUAGCUAGUUGGUGGGGUAAAGGCCUACCAAGGCUACGAUCAGUAGCUGGUCUGAGAGGAUGAUCAGCCACACUGGGACUGAGACACGGCCCAGACUCCUACGGGAGGCAGCAGUAGGGAAUCUUGCGCAAUGGGCGAAAGCCUGACGCAGCCAUGCCGCGUGAAUGAUGAAGGUCUUAGGAUUGUAAAAUUCUUUCAGCGGGGACAUAAUGACGGUACCCGCAGAAGAAGCCCCGGCUAACUUCGUGCCAGCAGCCGC